AUGGGCUUAUGGUAUCGGUUCUCUCAAUUUUUCUUUCCAACAGUCUCUUUCACAGUUCGGUUUAGGGUUUGAGCGAAUAUUGUUUUGUUAACCUGUUAGAUCGAGAGCUGUGUGAGAAUAGGUCAUCGUGUUGGUGAUCGAUUCGUGAGCUGUGAGUUUGUUGAGAGUUUUACUUUGGUUUGAUUAGAUAUAUCUUUGUAAAAAUGUUCAGAUUCAUUUGAUUUUGUAAAGAUACCAUUGUUUUUGACAUGGUAUCAGAGCCAUCAGUGCUCUGUGGGUUAAUUAGUUCUUCUCUUCCGUUUUUUUCUUUCACCGGGUGUGAUUCUUCGUUCUAGGGUUUCAUAUUUUGGAGAUUUGGUGUCUUCUUGGAAGGUUGCACAGGUCUUACAAGAUCCGUGUUGUUCUUGUCGGUUGAAGAAGAUUGAUCGGAGUCAGUCUUGGUCGUUCGAGUGAAGAUUUAGGGGUUCUUGAAGUAUUGGUGAAUCGGAGCUCUUCUAAGAGUUCUUGGGUGAAUCGGAGUAUUAGGGUUCCGAUUGUUCAUCCGCUGACUUAGCUUGGGUGUUCUUCUACAGAUCUGUACCGGAGUUCUUGACUUGUGCUAUCGUUCGAGUAUCCACUGUUAUGGAGUCUUGUUUGGUCAGGCGCAUCUGCCGAUUUCAGAUUGUGUUCUCGAGAAGUGUGCCAGUGCAGAAUAGUAAAACCCAACUCUAGGGUUGUGCAGACGUUUGAGAAGAAGUUAAUACUCGUUGGUCUCUGUAUUCAAUAAGAAUACAGGGCAUACCAACAGUCUUGCUGCUGGACUAUUCUUCUUGCAGUAUCUUGUAGCCAUAAGUGAAGGCUACAAGACUGUAUAGCUCGGAGUUAACCGCUUCAAGUUGUUUACGAUUCUUGGUUGGAUUGCCCUGACUAUAAUUGUCGCUGGGCUGAAUCUUUGGAGCAGUUAUUGGGCUUAUCAGUUGCGAAAGGGAGCAGAUGGGCUUAUGGUAUCGAUCUGCUAUAUUAAAGUGUUAGAUACGGAAGAUUGUGAAGGAUGGUCCAUUAGGUUCUCUCAAUUUUUCUUUCCAACAGUCUCUUUCACAGUUCGGUUUAGGGUUUGAGCGAAUAUUGUUUUGUUAACAUGUUAGAUCGAGAGCUGUGUGAGAAUAGGUCAUCGUGUUGUUGAUCGAUUCGUGAGCUGUGAGUUUGUUGAGAGUUUUACUUUAGUUUGAUUAGAUAUAUCUUUGUAAAAAUGUUCAGAUUCAUUUGAUUUUGUAAAGAUACCAUUGUUUUUGACA
rnacentral:lncRNA from 1 species